rnacentral:rRNA from 1 species
UACGUAGGGUGCGAGCGUUAAUCGGAAUUACUGGGCGUAAAGCGUGCGCAGGCGGUUUUGUAAGCCAGAUGUGAAAUCCCCGGGCUCAACCUGGGAAUGGCAUUUGGGACUGCAAGGCUGGAGUGCGGCAGAGGAGACUGGAAUUCCCGGUGUAGCAGUGAAAUGCGUAGAUAUCGGGAGGAAUACCGAUGGCGAAGGCAGGUCUCUGGGCUGACACUGACGCUCAUGCACGAAAGCGUGGGGAGCGAACAGG